rnacentral:rRNA from 1 species
AUUGAACGCUGGCGGCAUGCCUUACACAUGCAAGUCGAACGGUAACGCGGGGCAACCUGGCGACGAGUGGCGAACGGGUGAGUAAUGCAUCGGAACGUGCCCAGUAGUGGGGGAUAACUGCUCGAAAGAGCAGCUAAUACCGCAUACGACCUGAGGGUGAAAGCGGGGGAUCGCAAGACCUCGCGCUAUUGGAGCGGCCGAUGUCAGAUUAGGUAGUUGGUAGGGUAAAGGCCCACCAAGCCAACGAUCUGUAGCUGGUCUGAGAGGACGAACAGCCACACUGGGACUGAGACACGGCCCAGACUCCUACGGGAGGCAGCAGUGGGGGAUUUUGGACAAUGGACGCAAGUCUGAUCCAGCCAUGCCGCGUGCGGGAAGAAGGCCUUCGGGUUGUAAACCGCUUUUGUCAGGGAAGAAACGCUCUGGGUUAAUACCUCGGGGUAAUGACGGUACCUGAAGAAUAAGCACCGGCUAACUACGUGCCAGCCGCCGCGGUAAGAC